rnacentral:rRNA from 1 species
AUUGAACGCUGGCGGCAGGCCUAACACAUGCAAGUCGAACGAGUGGCGGACGGGUGAGUAAUGUCUGGGAAACUGCCUGAUGGAGGGGGAUAACUACUGGAAACGGUAGCUAAUACCGCAUACCAUCAGAUGUGCCCAGAGGGGAUUAGCUAGUAGGUGGGGUAACGGCCCACCUAGGCGACGAUCCCUAGCUGGUCUGAGUGGAUGACCAGGCACACUGGAACUGAGACACGGUCCAGACUCCGACGGGAGGCAGCAGUGGGGAAUAUUUCACAAUGGGCGCAAGCCUGAUCCAGCCAUGCCGAGUGUGUGAAGAAGGCCUUCGGGUUGUAAAGUACUUUCAGCGGGGAGGCGUUACCCGCAGAAGAAGCACCGGCUAACUCCGUGCCAGCAGCCGCGGUAAUAC